UCGGACGGGUGAGUAACGCGUGAGAAUCUAACUUCAGGACGGGGACAACAGUUGGAAACGACUGCUAAUACCCGAUGUGCCGCAAGGUGAAACCUAAUUGGCCUGAAGAAGAGCUUGCGUCUGAUUAGCUAGUUGGUAGGGUAAAAGCCUACCAAGGCGACGAUCAGUAGCUGGUCUGAGAGGAUGAGCAGCCACACUGGGACUGAGACACGGCCCAGACUCCUACGGGAGGCAGCAGUGGGGAAUUUUCCGCAAUGGGCGAAAGCCUGACGGAGCAACGCCGCGUGAGGGAGGAAGGUCUUUGGAUUGUAAACCUCUUUUCUCAAGGAAGAAGUUCUGACGGUACUUGAGGAAUCAGCCUCGGCUAACUCCGUGCCAGCAGCCGCGGUAAUACGGGGGAGGCAAGCGUUAUCCGGAAUUAUUGGGCGUAAAGCGUCCGCAGGUGGUCAGCCAAGUCUGCCGUCAAAUCAGGUUGCUUAACGACCUAAAGGCGGUGGAAACUGGCAGACUAGAGAGCAGUAGGGGUAGCAGGAAUUCCCAGUGUAGCGGUGAAAUGCGUAGAGAUUGGGAAGAACAUCGGGGCGAAAGCGUGCUACUGGGCUG
rnacentral:rRNA from 1 species